rnacentral:rRNA from 1 species
UGAUGUUAGCGGCGGACGGGUGAGUAACACGUGGGUAACCUGCCUGUAAGACUGGGAUAACUCCGGGAAACCGGGGCUAAUACCGGAUGCUUGUUUGAACCGCAUGGUUCAAACAUAAAAGGUGGCUUCGGCUACCACUUACAGAUGGACCCGCGGCGCAUUAGCUAGUUGGUGAGGUAACGGCUCACCAAGGCAACGAUGCGUAGCCGACCUGAGAGGGUGAUCGGCCACACUGGGACUGAGACACGGCCCAGACUCCUACGGGAGGCAGCAGUAGGGAAUCUUCCGCAAUGGACGAAAGUCUGACGGAGCAACGCCGCGUGAGUGAUGAAGGUUUUCGGAUCGUAAAGCUCUGUUGUUAGGGAAGAACAAGUACCGUUCGAAUAGGGCGGUACCUUGACGGUACCUAACCAGAAAGCCACGGCUAACUACGUGCCAGCAGCCGCGGUAAUACGUAGGUGGCAAGCGUUGUCCGGAAUUAUUGGGCGUAAAGGGCUCGCAGGCGGUUUCUUAAGUCUGAUGUGAAAGCCCCCGGCUCAACCGGGGAGGGUCAUUGGAAACUGGGGAACUUGAGUGCAGAAGAGGAGAGUGGAAUUCCACGUGUAGCGGUGAAAUGCGUAGAGAUGUGGAGGAACACCAGUGGCGAAGGCGACUCUCUGGUCUGUAACUGACGCUGAGGAGCGAAAGCGGGGGGAGCGAACAGGAUUAGAUACCCUGGUAGUCCACGCCGUAAACGAUGAGUGCUAAGUGUUAGGGGGUUUCCGCCCCUUAGUGCUGCAGCUAACGCAUUAAGCACUCCGCCUGGGGAGUACGGUCGCAAGACUGAAACUCAAAGGAAUUG